UAGGGAAUCUUCCACAAUGGACGCAAGUCUGAUGGAGCAACGCCGCGUGAGUGAAGAAGGGUUUCGGCUCGUAAAGCUCUGUUGUUAAAGAAGAACGUGGGUAAGAGUAACUGUUUACCCAGUAACGGUAUUUAACCAGAAAGCCACGGCUAACUACGUACCAG
rnacentral:rRNA from 1 species